rnacentral:tRNA from 1 species
UGCGACUUUGUGUCAAAGCACCAGGUCUUGGGGCUGCCCGCAUCUGACUACGGAUCAGAAGGUUGGGGGUUCGAAUCCCUCCGAGC